rnacentral:lncRNA from 1 species
UCAUAUUGUUAUGCAAUUGAAGGUAAUUGGAAAUUAAACCUUAAACCUUUUUCUUGGACUGUUUUGUAUUGCCAGAAUCCAAAAUUCAUCUGUCCAUCGUCAUCUAAGAUCAUCUGUCAUUCUAGGAGUCAUUUUUAUCACUUGAAUCAGUUUAGGAGGAAAAAGAGGCUAGACUGACUGUAUUGUGAUCUG